rnacentral:lncRNA from 1 species
AAGGGGGGGGGGCGCCAACCCAGACAGGAAGACCACGUCAGUGACUCAACCCACUCAAGUGACGCACCCCUCCUAGGGACGGCAUGGAAGAGCACCAGUAAGCCAGUGACUCAACCCCUGUAAUAGGGUUAGAGGCAGAGAAUCCCAGUGGAGAGAGGGGAACCGGCUAGGCAGAGACAGCAAGGGCAGUUCGUUGCUCCAGUGCCUUUCCGUUCACCUUCACUCUCCUGGGCCAGACUACACGGGUCGGGGACCCUUGGUCUUGUUGUUCCAUCUCCAAGUAUGUGUACUCGGUGGAAAGCCACCUUGUUUACAGUCUCUAUAGGACGUUUCAAGGAGGAUUGCAUGAAUUCUCUGAUCGUGCCCUCUGGAUUAUUGGAUGCGUCCUCAUGAAUCCCAGAUUUUUUUUUUCACGCAUUCUAUAACUUUGUAUGUCUAGUAGCGACUCCUUCAUCAUCCUAUUAACCCUGAAUAGACAAUCCAUAUUGGAAUCGUGGAUUUUUACCUUGGCUGUGAGUGCCUUGUUUUCUCCUUGGAGCGUGAGAAUUUCACUCUGGCUAACUCCAAACACUCCCUCAGCCCUGCUACCUCCUCACACAACUUUUCCAGUGUUGCAUGGAUUCCAGCCAGAGCACUGGCCUCUACUUCAACGCACUUUUAGGUGUCAGAGGCAACGGGAGAGAGGGGCUGUCGAAGGAUGCAUUGAGAUUCAGGAACAAGUGUGUAGACUGCAAACACCUGUCUCUCCUUAGAAAGCAUCCUCCAUUUGUACCAUGCAGUAUCUGUAGGUUCCUGUAAUCCAUCCAGAGUGAAGCCCUGCAAGCACCUGCAGCUGCAAACCCCUGAGAUGACGAGCACAGGGGACGGGACGGGAAGUAGUGGACGGAAGAAAGGAUAUAGGGAUGAGGACAAACAGAAGAGAGGAACACAAGGAGGGAGAGAUGUGUGAACAAAAAGAGCAAAAAUAACAGGUUGGGAGGAGACAGCAGGAUACAAAGGAGGAGGGGAGGAAGAGAGAGGAUAUCUUUGGAUAGCACAAUUGUUUAUACAAAUCAUGUUCCUCUGAUGACACAUUUCUGUAUUACCGCAAUCAAAACAAAAAUGUACUUUGUAACCGAGAACCCAGAUGAAACAUCUGGUCAUUAGCAAACACAUACAGCAGUCCUAUCCUCUGUUAUAAGAUGGUAACAGGUGGAGGAGAGAGCAGAAAGGGAGAGAGAAGAGGAGGAGGGUAGGAGGAGAGGAGGAGGAGGAGAGUGAGG